UAACACAUGCAAGUCGAACGGUAGCACAGAGAGCUUGCUCUCGGGUGACGAGUGGCGGACGGGUGAGUAAUGUCUGGGAAACUGCCUGAUGGAGGGGGAUAACUACUGGAAACGGUAGCUAAUACCGCAUAACGUCGCAAGACCAAAGAGGGGGACCUUCGGGCCUCUUGCCAUCAGAUGUGCCCAGAUGGGAUUAGCUAGUAGGUGGGGUAACGGCUCACCUAGGCGACGAUCCCUAGCUGGUCUGAGAGGAUGACCAGCCACCCUGGAACUGAGACACGGUCCAGACUCCUACGGGAGGCAGCAAUGGGGAAUAUUGCACAAUGGGCGCAAGCCUGAUUCAGCCAUGCCGCGUGUAUGAAGAAGGCCUUCGGGUUGUUAAGUACUUUCACCGGGGAGG
rnacentral:rRNA from 1 species